rnacentral:rRNA from 1 species
UGGGGAAUAUUGGACAAUGGGCGCAAGCCUGAUCCAGCCAUGCCGCGUGAGUGAUGAAGGCCCUAGGGUUGUAAAGCUCUUUCACCGGUGAAGAUAAUGACGGUAACCGGAGAAGAAGCCCCGGCUAACUUCGUGCCAGCAGCCGCGGUAAUACGAAGGGGGCUAGCGUUGUUCGGAUUUACUGGGCGUAAAGCGCACGUAGGCGGACUUUUAAGUCAGGGGUGAAAUCCCGGGGCUCAACCCCGGAACUGCCUUUGAUACUGGAAGUCUUGAGUAUCGUAGAGGUGAGUGGAAUUCCGAGUGUAGAAGUGAAAUUCGUAGAUAUUCGGAGGAACACCAGUGGCGAAGGCGGCUCACUGGACCAUUACUGACGCUGAGGUGCGAAAGCGUGGGGAGCAAACAGG